GAAAUGUCAAUUCUAACUUGGAUGUUCUACAGUGACUCACGAAAGUAUUUGAACACUUAGUACGAAAUACUUUAUUAAUUAUAAUAGGUAUAUUAUAUAACAUUUACUGAAAUAUUAUUAACACUGUAAGGAGGUACGACUCUGCAGAUCAUAUAGGUAAAGUUUCAAAUAAAUCGAAAUAUGUAAACAAUAAAUUUGAAUUAUUGGAAGGAAAGACGUAUGAUGAAAUAAGUAAAUUAUUAAAUAUAAAUAGAUCUACGACACGUGAUAUUAUUAAACAAUGGAAAUCUGAAGGAACUUUAAAAAAUAAAUACCGUUCAGGCCGACCAAAGAAAUUAACCGAAAGGGAAGAAAGACCGUUGCUUCCCGAAAUAAAGAAAAAAUCCAAAGCUUUCUGCUACAAAACUUGAAACAAUAGUUAAACAGAAUUUUAAUAAAGAUGUGCAUCCAGAAUUAUCCAGAAGAGUGCUAUGGGAAAAUGAUUAUCAUGCCAGAGUUCCCAGAAAGAAGCCAUAUAUUAGUGAUACUAAUAAAAAGAAAAGAUUGAAGUUCGCCAAAGAAUUUAUUAGUAAAGAUUCUGUAUUCUGGAAUAAAGUGAUAUUUUCAGAUGAAUCAAAAUUUAACGUCUUUGGGUCAGACGGAUGGAAUUUUGUUUAGAGACAAGCAAAUACAGAGAUGGACCAAAGAACUUAUGUGCUACGGUGAUGCAUGGGGUGGCUCAGUUAUGAUCUGGGGAUGUAUGGCGACAAACGCGACCGGGAAUUUGACCUUCAUAGAAGGAACAAUGGAUAAAUACAAAUAUUCGAACAUUUUACAAGAAAAUUUAAAGGAAAGUGCAAGAAAAUUGGGUAUAUACGAAGACUUUUACUUUCAGCAGGAUAAUGAUCCUAAGCACAUUGCAAAAAUUGGUAAGGAAUGGAUUAUAUAUGUAUAAUAUAUAAUAUAUAAUACCCCCCACAUGUUAGUUACACCACCACAAAGCCCUGAUAUUAACCCGAUUGAAUAUCUAUGGGCAAUAAUGGCGAAAGAAUUACAAAAAUUUAAUAUAACAUUCACGGCAAGUUUAAAGGAAAAAAUACUCCAAGUUUGGAAUUCUAUUUCGCCAAGUAUUACAGAAAGGUUAGUAAACAGUAUGCAUACUCGCUUAUAGGAUGUUAUUCGUGCCAAAGGCCGACCUACUAAAUAUUAAAGAUUUAAAAAUUACUUGUUCAAAUACUUUUGUGGCUUCAACAAUCUCUAUCUUAACAAGAAAUAAUUCAAAUCUAUUGUUUAUAUAUUUUUUGUUUGAAACUUUACCUAUAUAAUCUGUUGAGUCGUAUCUCCUUACAGUGUUAAUAAUAUUGCGGUAAAUGUUAUAUAAUAUACUUAUUAUAAUUAAUAAAGUACUUCGUACUAAGUGUUCAAAUACUUUCGUGAGUCACUGUAAAUGAAAUUCAUCUGCGUUGAAAGAGUCGAAGACGGUCGAUUUUGAAAUAGGUGGAUCUGUUACUAAUAACUAAUAACUGUGUCAUUAAAGAGACUAUUUUCUGACGUUCACUGUCAUUUAUUUUCUCACAAUUCCUCUUAAAAAAAAAAAAGAAGAAAAGAAACACUUAUAGUUAUAUACUCUAUAACUGAUAGUUUGAGUCAAUUAUGUAGAUGUAAGGGAAUGCUCGAUUUUUAUUAUAAUGUUAUAGGCAUUUUGGGGACAAACUAAUUCUGACAAAUUGACUUUAGAGGAAAUGUGUUUUCUCUUUUCUCAGACAGGAAACUAUUGCGAGAUGUUAUAUUUAUUAAGGGGAUCAAAAGUGUGCAAGUUUGUAAUACCCGAUCGAUAAAAAUCAAUUGAUACACAAUGAUAAAUGAUAAACAAGUAUUGAUACUCGCAGAAACAGAGUGUUCGGGACUCGACCAACGGUCUCGUGGUUAGGGAGUUUCUCCCUCUCCUCGAAACAAGCAGGAAGAUCGGUGAGAGAUUGGUCGGGAGAGAGUGGUUGAGAGAAAUGUAGCGAAGAAGUAAGUUUGGAGAAGGUAGAUUGUAAUCGAAAAGAAUUGACGAAAUAAAGAGGCAUC